rnacentral:misc_RNA from 1 species
AAGAUGAACCAUCCCCAUGAAACUUCAUGCCCACUCUCUUCACUCCAUUCAUGCCUCGAAUGCUCAACUCUUCAAGUGAGGGUCAUUGUCCAAGUGGCCGUUAAGGGACAGGCAAUAUACAAGUGUCAAAGUUCCAGAUCAUGGGUUAAAUUAAACCAAGAGUAUGCUCAAUGGAAACUAAUAUCAGCACUAAAAAGGACUUGCCAAUCUCUGUAUCAGGUUGAUGCUCCUUGGUUGAUGAAGUUCAAGACACACAUCCAUCAGCCCCAUGCGUCCAUCUAAUAUUACUCUGCUUUCCUCUCACAUCAAUGUAAUGCCCAUGAUUGUACCAUCAUUGACAAUAAUUGAAGCAGGUUACGCGAGGGAUGUGGGAAAUGAUAGGCCAAUAAUCUUCUUUGUCUUUUGAGCACCUUUCUUCCAAAUGAGGACAAUUAUAGAUACAUAGAUGUUCAAUUGUAGCAGGGAAGCCCUCCUCUGGCAACCACAGGAGAUUUCGGCAAUUAUUAAUUAUUAUCAUUUGCAGAGAGGUGAGCUUUUGAAGUCCUCUAGAGAUGGAUUUCAGAUUGUCGAAUUUCCCAAUCUGAAGAUAGGUCAAUGAAGUGGGAAGCAGUAGGCCAUCAUCAUUUGGAAAGGAAUCAAACAUAUUUGU